GGGGGGGGGGGGGGGGUUGAUAUUGACUUUAAGCUGCGACACUUGACUCUCCUUCACGUCUCUUUUAGGAUCAUUUCAGCAGCUCCCCUCCACUACCGCGCGUCAAUUUGGAAUACAUUAACUCCCGUUCAGCCUCCUCGAUUGGACGCGAAGUGGAGGGAAUCAUGUGCAACUCUUCAUUAGUGUCACUUUUGAUGCAAGCUGCUUUCAAGUAAAGCCCCACGACGAGCAACUCUGAGCAGCGCGAUAGUCGGGUGGUGUUUUCCUGUUAAACCCAGCUAUCCACCACUACCAGUGCCCCCUAGUGGGGAGUGGGCAUCCAGCUGAUUGGGAUACUGAUGUGAUACCUGCAAUGGAAACCGGAGCUUGACUUGUGGACCGCAGGCGUGCUGGAGCCUAUCCCAGCUAUGUUCGGGCGAGAGGCAGGGUACAACCUGAACUGGUCGCCAGCCAAUCGCAGGGCACAUAUAAACAAACAACCAUUCACACUCACACCUGCGGGUAAUUAAGAGUCUUCAAUCAACCUACCACGCAUGUUUUUGGGAUGUGGGAGGACACCAGAGUACCCGGAGAAACCAACGCAGGCACAGGGAGAACAUGCAAACUCCACAUAGGUGAGGCCGGAUUUGAACCCAGGUCCUCAGAACUGUGAGGCAGAUGUGCUAACCAGUCGCUCACCGUGCCGCCAGGCCCAAAUUAUCCUUUAAAAACUUUCAUAGUUCUUAAAAAUUCCACAGAUGCAAUUGACAGCAUUUCUAUACUUGCUUUGAAAUUAGACUGGACUCGCAAUGAAAUUGUACUUUCAUGAGGGGUAAAGAAGGAGGCAUCUAUUUGUUUUUAGCAUUUAUUUUUUUUAAGUGGACAACACAACCAGCCCUAUUUGGGCACAAUAUAUGUCAUGAUAAAGUAACAGUUGUUUGGAUUUAAAGAUUUAUAAUUACCAUAACAUCAAUGCUAUUUCCUAUUAGUCCAUCUAUGGUGUUUCACAUUAUGUAUUAUCAUUAAGCUAGAUUACGUUCAUUAUCAUAGGGCUGAAUAUUUUGGUGUUUUAAUACAGAAUGUUUAAUUCUCUUUUGUGUCAAUUUUACAGUAAACUUUAACUGGCAGUGACAAAUAAGCAGCUUGAAGAAGGCAGUCCACUGUAUUUGAAACUGAAAAAAAAAUUAAAUCAAAUUACCAAGAUCUAGGAAUUGUUUUCACUCUAAUUUCUACAGGUGCAUAGUAAUUCUGAAAAACUAAAUUGACUCACCAACUGUACAAAAUAAAGUGAAAACUAUUUUAAAUGUAUUUUUUUUUUAAAAAGACUAAAUGAGAGACGUUACAUCUUAUUGAAGUGGCCAAGUCAUAAAUUUGACUACUUUAAACCUGCAAAUAAAUGUGAAAUAUGUGAUCCAUGCGGGUUAAGGAAGGUUGCUGGUGGAGUCUCUAAAGUUGAAAUGGGCCAUAAUGUGCAGCCAUACCUAACGCUUGGGCCUUACAUCAUAUAUUUUAGCAUGCGAGUGUUCAUUAAACACUGGUGCAUGAGAGGAUGGAGUUAAUGAUCUGUACUGUGUCUUCAGAGAGCAGUCAGUCAUGAAUAAUUGUGCUUGUGUUUUUAUUUUUUAAACAGUGAAUGUCACACAACUUUAAUGCAUCCACUACUGUUUUCAUCGAGGGAAUCGCUUUUUGAGGGUAAAAAUAGAAAUACCCCUGUGGGAGAUGGCUGUUCGACCUACCUCUGACCCGCUGUGGUCGUAACCUCCGUGCUGGCUGUAACCAAAAGGAAAUUGCUCAGUGAUAGGAACAAAGUACUUGGAUGGCUCCCGCUUGCACUGCGCUGGUUCAAAGGGAAUGGCUGGACCCGCCUAAUUAGCCUGCUAGUGUUGCUGAGUUGGACGUAAUGGCUGUUCCCCUCAGUGUUUUUCCAACAAGUAGCCUCGCUCAUCUUGCAUAGUCAAAAAGAAAAAGAGUCAGUUUUUUCCCAAUUUUUGCCAACAGAUAAGUCGGGGCUAUCUGCAUUGUGUUCAAUUAAACAGGUCCACAUUUCACACCGAGUAAGUGAAUUUGUGAGUAAAUUGUGACUAGAUCACCAAUAUUUCAGUAUUUUUCAGUAGGAUUGUUACAUGUUCUGUAGUGUGCAGUGAGAUUGCUGUACUCUAAAAUGGGUGCCUUGCCUCAGAAAAGGUUGGAAAACACUGAUGUACGUCAUCAUCAUCAUCAUCAGCUCAGAGUCAAUAUUUACAAUAUUUAGGACAAAGACAUAACUCAAUGAAAAAUGCAUCAUACACACCAGGGAUGCUUGUUAUUAAAUCUAUUAAUGUGUGCAGAUUGCUACAGAUAUGUUUUGCUGUUGAAGUUGGCUGUAACCAAUCAGAAAAUCAAUGACCUUUGGAGGACAAAUUCAAACUCUGAUUGGUUAGAGAAACAGUCCAAUAGCUAAUGUAGUUUACGUUAUAUGGGACAGCACUACUGAUUCUGAAAGCCAUGGGCAGAUUAACUUGACAUGGCAACACAGAAGCAGCAAUGCGAACGGAUAAAAAAAAAAAAAAAAAAAGUAACACACGUACUGUAAGCAGUGCAGCCACCCAUAGUUUAAAGUAAUAUGUAGAAAUUGUUCGUUUGUCGAUAAUACAUUGGCUUGGAAUAAAGAGAAUUGCCUCUUUAUCAUUGCCAUAGUGAUACUGGAUCACCUGGUUUAGUUGCUGGACCAACCAGGACACCGAGCAUCAGUGUUGUUCAGACUUGUGUAGUGCUUGCGCAAUUUUUUUAGAAUAGUAAAAAAAAAAAUUGUAAUCUUUGUUCAUUUUAAGACAUGGUGUUAUAACAUAGAUAAGACAGCUAACAGAAUAGCCUGAUUUUCCCUAAAACAUUUUAGAUAGAUUUGCUGAAGGACCUGGAUAAAAAUGCAGAUAAGUUAUUUUCAGUUUUAGUCACUAUGGCAUGAGUUGAACUGUCCACACGUCCGUCAAUCCAUUUUCUAUACCACUUAUCCUAAUUAGAGUCGCAGGUGAGCUAUCCGACUUGGGGCAAGAGGCGGGGUACACCCAGUGAGCUCAACUCAACUCACUUGACAAUAAGCAGCACUUUGGCGAAUAGUGAAGAAUUAUUGAAGAACAAAAAAAAAGGCGUCAAGUAGUUUAAUGCCACUCCCAGUUGAAGUUUACUGUCAAACUAAACUUUAAACUAGGAGAAGUACACAUUGUGUAUUUAAACCAAAAACAUAGCUUAUCCUAGCUAUUUUAAUGCUUAUCCAAACAUCUGAUGAGAAAAACAUAUAUAACCCUUUAAGCAACUGGUAUUUGAACACAAACGGUGCGACAACACAUUUAAACAAUCAGUAUAACAAUACUCAGUCAUAUAUUCUGUAUCCUCUGCGAGGAGCUGAGACGAGCGGAGAGGAUCUAAGAUGUCUAUACGUCACAGACAUCCAUGUACAGAAUAUCCGACAUACAUUGCCCCCAGGUGGCCAAGGUGGUCAGUAGCACAAUGGCCAUUCAACUCUUUUUAAUUAAGUCAUUACUGUCUUUUUAUAAAGUAAAAUAUUGUACUUUAUUUUAUACACACAUAUAUGUGUAUGUAUACAUAUAUGGGCAGCUUGGAUUCAGUUCCCACUGAGUGACGGUGUGAAUGUGAGUGCGAAUGGUCGUCCAUGUCUGUAUGUGCCCUGCUACUGACUGGCGACCAGUUCAGGGUGUAGUCUGCCUUUCGCUUGAAGUCAGCUGGGAUAGGCUCCAGUGCGCCGCGACCCUGAACAGGAUAAGCGGUAUUGAGAAUGGAUGAAUUCCUUCAUGUUGCUUGAACUAUUUCUGAGAGCACAAUUAUCUUUUAGUAGCAAUUUGUGUUGUAGUAGCAGUUCCAGGCCCUUUUUUAAAAAAAUUCUUUUCGAUUCUUUGGGCAUUUUUGGCCUUCAGCUCUUUGAAGUGUAAUUUAAUCCAGGUUGUCAAGUCUGAGUGGGCAUGAGGCGCAACAACACAACUCCCUCCUCUAGUUCAUGGCUGCGUGCACAACAUGAUGGCAGCCCGCAACCGAAAAAAGGUGCUAAGUAGAUAGUGAAGCCAAGUUUCUGGGACAGAACAAGGGAGAGAAAGGGGUCAAGUUAUUAGCUUUCUGCAUUCAACAUUCUGGCAGGCAGCGCCACUGUUCCUAUGAGCCUGCCUUCUUCCCCCCUUGGGUUCUGUGGUCCGCCUCUCUUGUCAAAGUAAUCAUGCAGCCGGUGUGUCCUAGAAUCUCAAGUGUCGAAGGCGAGCGACUGUUCUUUAGGUUAACAACAUUCGUCGCCACGUUAAGACACCAUAGCAUCUCUGGAGUCGCAUGAGAAAUGAACUUUGCCAUUCACUUCUUAUAUUGUCAUAUUACAUUUCAUAUACUGUAUCCAUUUGAAAUGGCUAAAUACAGUAGAACCCCUGAAAGUGAAUGCCUCAAGUCUGGGGUUAGGGUUUCAAAUAUAGGUUUCAAGCCAAUGUUAGGGUUUUAAAGUAGGGUUUCAAGCAAUAGUUAGGUUUUGAAGUUAGAGUUUCAGACUACAAUUAGGGUUUCAAGGCAUGGUUAGGGUUUCAAAUUGGGGUUUCCUAUUCUUCCAGUUCCAGAAUAGGUUUUCAUAGUAUGGUUAGUAGCCAACAUUGUGGUUUUAAAUUUAGGGUCUACACAGCUGUCAAAUGUUAGUGAACGUCCGUAUUUUGUUAUGGAAGUCACUGAACAUUGACUCGUUAUGGCCGUACCACUGAUUGUUCUGGAUAUUAAAACAACAAAAUCCAGCGUCCGUCAUUAUAAGUCCACAUUGAACAGGUGCUUGGUGCACGCUAUUCAUUUAUUGAUUUUCCCUUUUGGCUGUUAGAUCAGACAGAAAGGAGGAACUAUAUCCCUUUUAUGCCGGAACAGUUUUACUGUGCCAAAGUGGUUCUUUGUAUUCUGAUGGAUUUUUAUUGAAAAUUGAAAAAAACAAAGGGGAGAGACUGUUAAAAGAUAAUUAAAUAAUAUAGGAAGAGAAGACGUGGCACGGUGACCGACUGGUUAGAGCGUCAGCCUCACAGUUCUGAGGACCCGGGUUCAAUCCCCGUCCCCGCCUGUGGGGAGUUUGCAUGUUCUCCCCGUGCCUGCGUGGGUUUUCUCCGGGCACUCCGGUUUCCUCCCACAUCCCAAAAACAUGCAUUAAUUGGAGACUCUAAAAUUGGCGUGACUGUGACUGUGAGUGCGAAUGGUUGUUUGUUUCUAUGUGCCCUGCGAUUGGCUGGCAACCAGUUCAGGGUGUACCCCGCCUCCUGCCCGAUGACAGCUGGGAUAGGCUCCAGCACGCCCGCGACCCUAGUGAGGCGAAGUGGCUCAGAAAUGGCUCAGAAAAUGGAUGGAUGGAGGAAGAGAAGACAACAAAAGACAGGACAUUAGCUGUAAUAAAGAUGAGGAAAGUAAAUCAUUUAUGCCGAGUACAUUCAUGCUCUGAUUUUUUUUUAAACAUAAGUUAAUCACCAGUCACUCUUUACUUGAGUAGUUUUUUUUCACUGAGUACUUUUUUACGCUUAACUAAAUAUUUGAAGGACUACUUUUACUUGAGUCAUAUUAUUCUACAAUAACAGUACUCUUACUUGAGUACAAUAUUCGGCAACUCUACCCACCUCUGGUCGUAACUUUAAUUAAAUUAUAUGUGAAAAUCCAUCCAUCCAUCCAUCCAUUUUCAACACCGCUUAUCCUGGUUAGGGUCG